rnacentral:rRNA from 1 species
GAUGAACGCUGACAGCAUGCUUAACACAUGCAAGUCGACUGUGGCGGACGGGUGAGUAACGCGUAAAGAACUUGCCUCACAGAUAGGGACAACAUUUGGAAACGAAUGCUAAUACCUGAUACUGUGAGAGAGCGUUGCGUCCCAUUAGCUAGUUGGAGAGGUAACGGCUCACCAAGGCGAUGAUGGGUAGCAGGCCUGAGAGGGUGAUCGGCCACAAGGGGACUGAGACACGGCCGUGACUCCUGCGGGAGGCAGCAGUGGGGAAUAUUGGACAAUGGACCGAAGUCUGAUCCAGCAAUUCUGUGUGUACGAUGAAGUUUUCGGAAUGUAAAGUGCUUUCAGUUUGGAAGCGGUACCAACAGAAGAAGUGACGGCUAACUACGUGCCAGCAGCCGCGGUAAUUC